rnacentral:rRNA from 1 species
GACGAACGCUGGCGGCGUGCUUAACACAUGCAAGUCGAACGGAAAGGCUCCAGCUUGCUGGAGUACUCGAGUGGCGAACGGGUGAGUAACACGUGGGUAAUCUGCCCUGCACUCUGGGAUAAGCCUGGGAAACUGGGUCUAAUACUGGAUAUGACCUUUCUCCUUAUGGGGUUUGGUGGAAAGUUUUUCGGUGUAGGAUGAGCCCGCGGCCUAUCAGCUUGUUGGUGGGGUGAUGGCCUACCAAGGCGACGACGGGUAGCCGGCCUGAGAGGGUGAUCGGCCACAUUGGGACUGAGGUACGGCCCAGACUCCUACGGGAGGCAGCAGUGGGGAAUAUUGCACCAUGGGCGGAAGCCUGAUGCAGCGACGCCGCGUGAGGGAUGACGGCCUUCGGGUUGUAAACCUCUUUCAGCAGGGACGAAGCGUAAGUGACGGUACCUGCAGAAGAAGCACCGGCUAACUAUGUG